ACACAUUUAACAAGUACAAUUUGGUAAAGGCCCAGAAACAGUGUUGCUGUAAUAGAAGUUGAUUGAAUUUGGAUUUACUACUUUAAGCAACUAGGCCCCACUAGAACUCUUGAUCUUAAGUACAUCAUCAUUGAGUACAGUAACUUUCUCAGCCUGCUUCAAACUUAGCAGUAUGAAGACUUCUCUUCCAUUCAAUCACAGAAAUGCCCUAAGGGCAGAAGAAGAGAGAAACAUUUGAAAACUCUUCUAACAUCUUAACAUAUGUUUACAUUUCCUAUUCAUCUUGUAUACCUGGUCUUUUUUUUUUAAGGGGACAGAAAAUAUGGUGCCAGAAUUCUAUAUGGAGAAGGAACUCAUCAUGCCUAUUCAAUUUUCUCUCCUACUACACUACAAACAGGAAUUCUGCUCCAAUCAGGCUCUGACAAUGAGGCGGCCCCUCUUGCCAAAGCCAGCUCUUCUAUGGAUGUUCUUGAUCCCAUCACCUCCUGUGACAUCUCUUCUCUGAUGCUGCCAUUACCCUGGUACAGACCUUCAUCACCUCACACCUGAACUACUACAAUAUUUACUGACACUAACCAGUACUAUUGAACUGAGUUGAAGCCUUCCCCAUCCUCAUUGCUGAGCAGGCAGAUUAAUGAUCCUCUUCAGGAAAUUGCAGGCAACAACCUGCCUUCUGGUCUGCGUAACAGGCCACUGAGGCUGAAUCCAGGAGAAUUUCAAGAGAAUCCAAAGGUCCCACAAAGAUGAAACAGUAUUGCAGAAACAUCUAUGACAGUGCUGUCAGAUGGGCAGUUCAGGGGUUGCGUGGAAGCUGAGCUGUUUUCUUUGACCAACUGUGUUCUGGAGUAUAGGUUUCAUCACUGGGAGACUUUGAGCAAGCCACUAUAUUUUGCUUUGCCUGAGUUUUCAUUUA